rnacentral:rRNA from 1 species
GCACUGUGAGGUGUGCUGGAGGUAUCGGAAGUGAGAAUGUUGACAUGAGUAGCGACAAAGCGGGUGAGAGACCCGCUCGCCGAAAAUCCAAGGGUUCCUGCGUAAAGCUAAUCUGCGCAGGGUUAGCCGGCCCCUAAGGCGAGGCCGAAAGGCGUAGUCGAUGGGAACCACGUUAAUAUUCGUGGGCCUGGUG